GCUCCUGCUGUUUGUCCUCCCCUCUCCUUUCAUUUCUUUCCGUUGCAUCCUCUGUUGGCCUAACCCUAUACACACACACUUAAACACGCAUACACACACACACACACACACACACACACAGCUAUAAAAAAUGCAGGGAGGAAUUUGCUCGGACGUCACAGCUCUGCUAAUAUUAUGUUAUGUUUGUCGAGUACAUACAGGCGGCGGGAACAUCUGUGGCAAGGCGGGAAAAGAGGACCACUAUUUUCAAGUGAACGCCCGGGACAAGAUUCACCGAAGCGUUUUUACAGAAACCCAUCAAACACUCAACACGGACACCGUUGGAGAAACGACUACACGUAAAUACAGUACUCAGGCUUUGGAAACAGACCAGACCUAGAGCAACACCACUGCACGCGUAAGGUGAAGAUUAUACUCCACCACCAGGAAAGACGAACCUUCAUGAUAAUCACAUACAUAACAGUCAGAGCGGAGAGCACUCCGACACAAACCUCCCUGAAAUAGGAACCAUAUGGGCAAAGUUUCCAUCAGGACUCGUGAGGAAUCGACAUGUCUCGCAGUAAAUGGAGCAGAGAAGAAGAAAGAGUGAGAGGAGAGAGGAGAAGAGUUGUACAGAGGAUGGUCGGUGAAGGAUAAACAGGGAUUAUGUCUUUUGGCGAAAUAUGAGAUAAAAGUCCACAUAAA